UGAGGAAUAUUGGACAAUGGGCGAAAGUCUGACCCAGCCAUCCCGCGUGCCGGAAGGCGGCCCUCAGGGUUGUAAACGGCUUUUGACGGUGAAGAACCGACAGGAUGCGUCCUGUUUUGACGGUAGCCGUUGAAUAAGCACCGGCUAACUCCGUGCCAGCAGCCGCGGUAAUACGGAGGGUGCGAGCGUUGUCCGGAUUUAUUGGGUUUAAAGGGUGCGUAGGCGGGAUGCUAAGUCAGUGGUGAAAGACGGUGGCUCAACCAUCGCAGUGCCGUUGAUACUGGUGUUCUUGAAUGCGGAUGAGGUAGGCGGAAUGUGGCAAGUAGCGGUGAAAUGCAUAGAUAUGCCACAGAACACCGAUUGCGAAGGCAGCUUACCAAAUCGUUAUUGACGCUGAUGCACGAAAGCGUGGGGAUCAAACAGGAUUAGAUACCC
rnacentral:rRNA from 1 species